UUGUGAAAAGUUGGGAUGCAGAGGGUGACGGGUCAAGAAGUAGAUGGG
rnacentral:tRNA from 1 species